rnacentral:rRNA from 1 species
UACAGAGGGGGCAAGCGUUGUUCGGAAUUACUGGGCGUAAAGGGCGCGUAGCGGCCGCCUAAGUCGAACGUGAAAUCCCCAGGCUUAACCUGGGAACUGCAUUCGAGACUGCAUUGCUAGAGUAUGGGAGAGGGAAGUGGAAUUUCCGGUGUAGCGGUGAAAUGCGUAGAUAUCGGAAGGAACAUCAGUGGCGAAAGCGACUUCCUGGACCAAUACUGACGCUCAUGUGCGAAAGCGUGGGGAGCAAACAGGG